UACGAAGGGGGCUAGCGUUGCUCGGAAUCACUGGGCGUAAAGCGCACGUAGGCGGAUUGUUAAGUCGGGGGUGAAAUCCUGGAGCUCAACUCCAGAACUGCCUUCGAUACUGGCGAUCUUGAGUCCGGGAGAGGUGAGUGGAACUCCGAGUGUAGAGGUGAAAAUUCGUAGAUAUUCGGAAGAACACCAGUGGCGAAGGCGGCUCACUGGCCCGGUACUGACGCUGAGGUGCGAAAGCGUGGGGAGCAA
rnacentral:rRNA from 1 species